rnacentral:tRNA from 53 species
CGGAGCGUAGCGCAGUCUGGUAGCGCAUCUGGUUUGGGACCAGAGGGUCGUAGGUUCGAAUCCUAUCGCUCCGACCA